CUUCUCAAUGUCUCUUGGGUUGUUUCUUGCUGCUGCUGCCGGCACUUGGCUGAGAAUCUUCUAUUUUCCUUACUGCGAGUCUACGUUGCUCCUACACUUCUUCCACGUUCAUUUAUGCUUGUACGAUCUGUUCUAUGUGUAUGUGCAUUGCAGCUUCUUUGGAAGGUUCCUUACUGCCUCUCUGGCCCUCCUAGGAUAGAAAAGCUUGUCGCGGUCACCGAGAGCUCGCCUGGGAGCCGCCGUGAGCACUGUCUCCUGGGAGCCGCCAUGAAUCUUGUACACAACGUCCAGACCUCGAUUGUAGGACAUGGGUCG